CUGACCAGGCAAAACGAUCGCUGGGUAUUAACCUGGAGGAAAGUCCGAACACCACAGGACAGGACGCUCCAUAACGUGGAGUCACGGUGACGUGAAGGAAAGUGCAACAGAGAAUAGACCGCCCGGAUGGUUGUUUUAUCCGGGUAAGGGUGAAACGGUGCGGUAAGAGCGCACCAGUUUUCCAGGUGACUGGAAAAGCUUGGUAAACCCCGUCCGGUGCAAGACCAAAUAGGAAAACGUUUAAGGGUUGUCCGCCCAAGUUUUCGGGUAGGUCGCAUGAGGUGUGCAGCAAUGUACAUCCAAGAUGAAUGAUCGUUGACCUGUUUGAGGUAACGAGAACAGGUAACAAAAUUCGGCUUAUUAACUGGUCAGGCCG
rnacentral:RNase_P_RNA from 1 species